GUCAGACCGCGGGGGUGGCGGCCGGGCCCACAGACCCCGCUCCGCCGGCCCUGCUCCGCCGCCCCGCCGCUCCCCGCGCGCCGGCGGCCAAGGGCGCCGUGGUGUCACGGGCGGGGGCGGGCAGAGCCGAGCGGGGCCGGCGGGGACCUGGGACCCGCGCCCGCGCCCCCGCCCGGGCCUCGCCGCCGGCCGGGCGCAGCGCGGGGCUCGCGCUUUGUGCCGCGAGUGACAGCGACACAAAGGGGCGCGGGCGCGGGCGCGGGGCCCCGCCGCCUUCCGCCCUUCCUCCGUCCUCCCUGGGCCUCUGCCUCCCCGGCUUCUACGGACUUUGCUGUUGCUGCGAAGUAAAGUGCGGCCUGGCCCGCGGGACGCGCCUCCCUCGGGUUACGGACUCGCCGACGGGCGCGGGUGCCCGGGCGUCGGUCUCGGCUACGGCGCAGUGCGCUCGUGGUGACCGCCCGUCCGGGAGUAGAACCCACGCGUGGGUUUCAGAGCUCAGACCGCGCACUGUACUUUCCCCGCCCCAGUCGGAGUGUAAUGCAAACCCGAGUCCAAAAAAUACUCCUCAGGAGGCGACCCGCGCAGGAGGGACCCUGUGCCGGCGAAGUUGCUCCUGGGAGAGCACAGCUGUUGUUGGCUGGGUUAGGGCUCCGGGUAUUGUUGCUGCCUAGGGAAAGAAACCAUUCCAUUUGCAUUUUAAUGAAAGUUGAAACACCGAAGGGGAGGUAUCUGCGCUUCCCAAGGCGUUUGGAAUACAGUGUAGAUUUUAACGCCAUAGAUACUGGUUUCUUAAGAACGUGUGUUACUAAGCAGAGAAGUGUUGGUGAAAGAUUGGAGAGUUAAACUGAAGUUUAGGAGGCAUUUGUCAGCUUAAUAGGUGAACGGAAGGAAAAACAAUAACGGACAAUGCUGCAUGAAUCAGAUUGACGGUGUUUGUCCUCAGUAGCUUAAUUUGUAACUCUUGCUAUUCUGGUCUUUGGAAAGGUGGUUAGGUUUGUUUCAAUCAUUGAUACUGGAGGCGCUAGCACAGGGUCCCCAGGGGAAAACCAUCGCCCACGCUAGGAAGGGAGGCCGCUCAUUGGUUAGCGCAGGGCACGGAGGGCUUGGCCUGCUUGGGGAGCGUUUGUUGAGAAACUACCUUGGGAGGAGGGAAGUGCCUCGCUUUGUUUAAAUGCACGCACUUGCGGAGCUCUUCAGGCCUUCCUGGUCCUGGGCUGUGCUGUCAGGCCUGGAGGUGAAGUUCUGCGGGUGACGCGUGGUCCCAGCUUUGGCAGGCUGGGACUCUGGGCCGUGGCCGCCAGGUGCUCCGCCCACCCCGCUGAGUGGCUGAGGAAGCGGGAUGGGCCCGCCACCGCCAGCAGGACAUGAGCUGAGGCAGGCGGUGAGGACGCAGCGUUGGGAAUAGUGGUCUUGAGAUGUUGCCCAGGCUGGCCUUCAACUUCUGGGCUGUACUGAUCCUCCUGCCUCAGCCUUCUGAGUGGCUGGAUUACAAGUAUUGGCUGUCAUAAGAUUUUAAAACAAAAAU
rnacentral:lncRNA from 1 species